GGAAAUGUGCCCGAAUUACAAGGAUUACUUUGAUAGAGUAAAAUAGAGGGGCUCAACCCCCUCAUCUCCU
rnacentral:tRNA from 1 species